UGGCCCACGAGAGAGAAAGGGAAGGUUGA
rnacentral:piRNA from 1 species